ensembl:snoRNA SNORA74 Small nucleolar RNA SNORA74
UCCAGUGGUAGUCAGCUAUCCAGGAUAUUGCCAUUCCUGUGAUAGUGUUACACUACUGGUAGAUUAAUAGACUGUCCUCUUGACCUAGUUACCACCUUCACUGUUCUAGUGAUUCCUGGUAUCAGCAGACAGAAGGGGACCGUGCUUCCUCGAGAGUGUGCUGAGCAGCCAUUUUGACUAUUCAAUGUUAGUGUGGAAGCAGACAUA